rnacentral:rRNA from 1 species
GACGAACGCUGGCGGCGUGCUUAACACAUGCAGGUCGAACGGAAAGGCCCCUUCGGGGGUACUCGAGUGGCGAACAGGUGAGUAACACGUGAGUAACCUGCCCUUGACUUCGGGAUAACUUCAGGAAACUGGGGCUAAUACCGGAUAGGAAUCCUUGCUGCAUGGUGGGGGUUGGAAAGCUUCGGCGGUUUUGGAUGGACUCGCGGCUUAUCAGCUUGUUGGUGGGGUAGUGGCUUACCAAGGCUUUGACGGGUAGCCGGCCUGAGAGGGCGACCGGCCACAUUGGGACUGAGAUACGGCCCAGACUCCUACGGGAGGCAGCAGUGGGGAAUAUUGCACAAUGGGCGGAAGCCUGAUGCAGCAACGCCGCGUGCGGGAUGACGGCCUUCGGGUUGUAAACCGCUUUCAGCAGGGGCGAAGCUUGUGGUGACGGUACCUGCAGAAGAAGCACCGGCUAACUACGUG